rnacentral:rRNA from 1 species
CUACGGGCGGCAGCAGUGGGGAAUAUUGGACAAUGGGGGAAACCCUGAUCCAGCAAUGCCGCGUGUGUGAAGAAGGCCUGCGGGUUGUAAAGCACUUUCGGUUGGGAGGACUGCUUCUAGCACUAAUAUUGUUGGAAGUUGACGUUACCUUCAGAAGAAGCACCGGCUAACUCCGUGCCAGCAGCCGCGGUGAAUACGGAGGGUGCAAGCGUUAAUCGGAAUUACUGGGCGUAAAGCGCGCGUAGGCGGCUAGAUCAGUCGGGUGUGAAAGCCCCGGGCUUAACCUGGGAACUGCAUCCGAUACUGUCUAGCUUGAGUACAGGAGAGGAGAGUGGAAUUCCACAUGUAGCGGUGAAAUGCGUAGAUAUGUGGAGGAACACCAAUGGCGAAGGCAGCUCUCUGGCCUGAUACUGACGCUGAGGUGCGAAAGCGUGGGGAGCAAACAGGAUUAGAUACCCCCGUAGUC